rnacentral:lncRNA from 1 species
GCAUGUUCUUAAAGAUAAAAGUCUUUUUAAAAUAUUAAUCAUUUAUGUGAUUCAAUAGACUAACAAAUGGCACCUGGUACUGUUGACCAAAACAGGGGAAUCUCUCAGUCUCAAGUUCGUCUCCUACCCGUAUCUGUCACUGGGGGGUUGUAGGACUCCCAAAGGGAUAACCAGUUAAUAACCAAUAGAUAAUAAAAACAAGGCAGGCUGUACAAUAAGGAGACUUUGCCACAGAUAAGGAAUGAUUACAAUACCAUCUCUUGCAGCUCGAUUCACUGAUGGUUUUUUGGCCUCAGGGUGGUACCAUACAACAGGAUUGCUGGAACGUUUUGAUGGAAGCAGGAUCUUGCAGCAGGAUCAGAUGAUUGUUCUUUCAGGUGCAAAUCUUGAUGAAUUGCUGUGCACUGCUAUGGAUAUGAGCCCAGUUUAAGCGAUUUCCACACACCAACAGAGCCACCUUGUAUCUUUAAAAUAGUUCUCCUCCCUUCUGAAUGUUUGUAUCUCUGUGAAGAAAAUCCCUAAGGUACGAGAAUGUUUAGGACAUAGAACUAAUACCAGAUGUAAGCUAUGCAAGGGGGAAAAAACAGUCUGUUUACUGACUUAGAGCAUCAUAUGUAAAGUUUUGGGGCUGAGUUAAAGCCUCCUUCAUAAUUACAGUAACAAGUAAGCUUCUUUAUGAUAGUUCCAGAUAUAUGAUUUGCUUAAAAAAAUAACUCCAUCACCUGACUCCAUCUGCUCUUCAACAAACUGAUAAAACACCAGCUUUGAAAUGAGCUGUAGUGCGUGGGGUGGAGUCACAACAGAAAAAGGCAGCUUGCUCUUAAUUCAGCCUAUUAUUAUUUUUUUAAAACGAUUGAGCGCCAUAUGGGCUGCAAUAUUUUGACAUAAUGGUAUGAGUUACUAAGUAGAAGUAACUGCUGCAAUCAUUCAGUAAGGUCCCUUAUUUAAAAUCCUCAAGAAAUGUUCAGCGAGACACUUGAUAGUAUAUGUUAACCCUUCAACAUACAUACCCAGGAGUUUAAAAACAAAGGACCAGACACACAGCUGCUGUAACUUGGUACACCAGCUGAAGAUCUGGCCCUAUAUCAAAACAAAGAAAAACAAGUAGACUACAAAGAGAACUGCAAUCCUCUGUCAGUUUUAAAGGGUCUUAAUUGUAAUUUUAAGGGCCCUAAAAAGCCAGACAAAAUCACUGAUGAUCCAGUCCUGCAAACACUUUGUACCAGUACAGUUUACCACUGAUUUCAGUGGGAUUACUUGCUGUAGUAAAUUCUACACCCAUUGCUAAGGCUUUUUAACCAGUCCAAACCCCUGCACUGAUGGAUUUAUAAUGGUUUUUAAAUGGUUGUAUCGGCUUAGUUUGUGCCUACACAUUUACUGACACAAACUGAACAGAUAUAUAUCCAGUUUAAAUACAUGUAAAUGUUCAU